AUUCCCCGCAAGCUGAUGAUCUCCAUUCCGCUGCUGCUCCUGUGGUGGUGGUGGUGGUGGUGGGAGGAUGCUGGAGAAGAGAAGAUGAAGGAGGAGGGAUGCUCGGCUGUAAACGGACUUCACAUAGUUAACUAACCCUAUAGAUACAUGGCAGCAGCAUCAGCAUCAGCAGCAGCUCUUAUUAUAUUGGUAUGAAAAGAUGUCCUCUCUUAUGGCUGCAGUCUGUCAGUCGUUUUUAUCUCCUUUUUCCCCUUACAAAAACGCGAGUCAUCCACGGCGUGUGGUGUGCUGCAGAUGCUCUCUCUCUACCUCUCUCUCUCUUUCUCUCUCUCUCUCUCUCUGUACCGGGGGGUAAUGAACGGAAAUCUGAUCUCGGCUCUCUCACUGCUGCAGUACAGCCUGUGAGAGAGGGAGAGAGAGAGAGUGCGAGCGCGCUCGAGCCGAGCGGGCUAAUUUAUUUAUUUAUCUAUAUGUCUAUAUAUCUAGCGUUAGAUUAUCCGCUGUUCUCCACCUACAGCCCCAGCAGAAGGCCGAUUCUAACGCCUCCCUCUCUCCCCUCGUCUCUCAGUGGACUCGGUGGACUGCAGGAGCUCUCCAGAUCAGAACGGUCGUCGUGGUUCUACAGCAGAAUGAGGCAGAGUCACGCUGCGCCAUCUUCACCACCACCACCACCACACUGUCAGUCACAUGACGCUUUACUGGAUAAAACACUGUCCUCCUCACAGCUUCUGGAUGAUUUCUGGAUUAAAACACCUUCUUACAGAAGCUUGAGAAAGAGACAAGGGCUGGGACUUGUGAUGAGAGGGUUCUGGGCUGUGCGUGAGGGGGUUGGAGACUCUUCUUACCCCCUCUUCCCUCUCCCUCUCUUUUUCUCCACCAUUAUUUUUGUCCCCUUCCCAAAAAUACAGUUAAGUUCCAGCAAAAUGUAAUCAUGACUUUAUCCACAAUGUAGUCAGAGAUGAUUUUAUUGUGGGAUUGACCCCAAUAAUAGAAAUCUAAGUGUACUUAGAUUUACACUACUCUGGAAUGUAAUCAAGAAGAAGAUGGAUGGUCACAAGCCAUCAAACAAACGAAGCUGAACUGCUCGAAUUUUUAUGCCAGGAUAAG
rnacentral:lncRNA from 1 species